CGGAGGGUGCAAGCGUUAUCCGGAUUCACUGGGUUUAAAGGGUGCGUAGGUGGGCAAGUAAGUCAGUGGUGAAAUCUCCGGGCUUAACCCGGAAACUGCCAUUGAUACUAUUUGUCUUGAAUACUGUGGAGGUCAGCGGAAUAUGUCAUGUAGCGGUGAAAUGCUUAGAUAUGACAUAGAACACCAAUUGCGAAGGCAGCUGGCUACACAAAUAUUGACACUGAGGCACGAAAGCGUGGGGAUCAAACAGGAUUAGAUACCCUGGUAGUCCACGCCCUAAACUAUGGAUACUCGACAUUUGCGAUAAACCGCAAGUGUCUGAGCGAAAGCAUUAAGUAUCCCACCUGGGAAGUACGAUCGCAAGAUUG
rnacentral:rRNA from 1 species